AAGAGCUUGCUCUUCGAUUCAGCGGCGGACGGGUGAGUAAUGCCUAGGAAUCUGCCUGGUAGUGGGGGACAACGUUUCGAAAGGAACGCUAAUACCGCAUACGUCCUACGGGAGAAAGCAGGGGACCUUCGGGCCUUGCGCUAUCAGAUGAGCCUAGGUCGGAUUAGCUAGUUGGUGGGGUAAUGGCUCACCAAGGCGACGAUCCGUAACUGGUCUGAGAGGAUGAUCAGUCACACUGGAACUGAGACACGGUCCAGACUCCUACGGGAGGCAGCAGUGGGGAAUAUUGGACAAUGGGCGAAAGCCUGAUCCAGCCAUGCCGCGUGUGUGAAGAAGGUCUUCGGAUUGUAAAGCACUUUAAGUUGGGAGGAAGGGCAGUAAGCGAAUACCUUGCUGUUUUGACGUUACCGACAGAAUAAGCACCGGCUAACUCUGUGCCAGCAGCCGCGGUAAUACAGA
rnacentral:rRNA from 1 species